rnacentral:rRNA from 1 species
UACGUAGGUGGCAAGCGUUGUCCGGAAUGACUGGGCGUAAAGGGAGCGUAGGCGGCGCAGUAAGUUAGGAGUGAAAUCCCGGGGCUCAACCCCGGAACUGCUUUUAAAACUGCUGUGCUUGAGUGAUGGAGAGGAAAGCGGAAUUCCUAGUGUAGCGGUGAAAUGCGUAGAUAUUAGGAGGAACACCAGUGGCGAAGGCGACUUUCUGGACCGUAACUGACGUUGAGGCACGAAAGCGUGGGGAUCGAACAGG